AACGAACGCUGGCGGCAUGCCUAACACAUGCAAGUCGAACGAGACCUUCGGGUCUAGUGGCGCACGGGUGCGUAACGCGUGGGAACCUGCCCUUAGGUUCGGAAUAACUCCCCGAAAGGGGUGCUAAUACCGGCUAAUGUCUUCGGACCAAAGAUUUAUCGCCAUUGUAUGUGACCGCGUUGGAUUAGCUAGUUGGUAUGGUAAAAGCCUAACAAGGCGACGAUCCAUAGCUGGUCUGAGAGGAUGAUCAGCCACACUGGGACUGAGAAAGGGCAAAGACUUUUAGAGGACGAAGCGGUGGGGACGCAGGGACGACGCGCGCUAGCUUGAGAAAGCAAUGCUGAGUGUAUGAGCAAGGCGUUAGGGUUGUCAAGCUCGUUUACUCGGGAUGAUAAUGACAGUACCGGGAGAAUAAGCUCCGGCUAACUCCGUG
rnacentral:rRNA from 1 species